GUGUGUGUGUAAAGGAGGACAAUGAAGAACAUUUUCAGGAAUGUAAAACAAUAUAAAUAACUGCCUAUAUUAUAGUGUGUUAUUGAUUAUAUAUGUGAUUAGAGGAUCCAGAGUGGGCAUUGGGUUUGAGUGCUGACUGUGUUAAGAUGAAGCUGUGUCUGGUUUUUGUGGUUGUGCUGCUGCUGGCUCUCCAUCUUUCACUGCAGGUGAGGAGCCAGAGUCUGAACAACACCGGUGACUCAGUGAAUACAACUACAAACAUGACGGUGGCUAGCUACUUCACAACGCCCAGUUUCAAUGCUGCAGUGAACACAGUCGAAGACAAAUAAAGGUUUUCCAAAGAGCGAGGCCUU